GGGAGCUCUUCCGAGACGCACUGGGGGCUGGAUGAUUGUUGAUCCAUUUCAGAUACUUGUGGCAGCAAACAAAGCAGUUCACCUCUACAAACUGGGAAAAAUGAAGACAAGAACUCUAUCUACUGAAAUUAUUUUCAACCUUUCCCCAAAUAACAAUAUUUCAGAGGCUUUGAAAAAAUUUGGUAUCUCAGCAAAUGACACUUCAAUUCUAAUUGUUUACAUUGAAGAGGGAGAAAAACAAAUAAAUCAAGAAUACCUAAUAUCUCAAGUAGAAGGUCAUCAGGUUUCUCUGAAAAAUCUUCCUGAAAUAAUGAAUAUUACAGAAGUCAAAAAGAGAUGUGGUCUCACUAUGUUGCCCAGAUUGGUCUCAAAAUCCUGGACUCAAGUGAUGCUUCUGCUGCGCCUCCCAAAGCGCUGGAAUUACAGGCAUGAGCCACUGAGCCCAGCUGGUUAUUGUUUCUGUUUUUAAAUUUUUUGCCUUGGUGAUUUUAUAUCCUCAGUUCACCUCCCUCUCCAUACUUACCAUGGCUACUCCA
rnacentral:sRNA from 1 species